rnacentral:rRNA from 1 species
AGAGUUUGAUCCUGGCUCAGGACGAACGCUGGCGGCGGGCUUAACACAUGCAAGUCGAAGGAGAAGGGUGGUGCUUGCAUCAUCUGGAGACUGGCGGACGGGUGAGUAACGCGUAGAUAACCUGCCUAUAUCAGGGGGAUAACGUCUCGAAAGGGGCGCUAAUACCGCAUAAUGCAGCGGGGCCGCAUGGCCACAGUUGUUAAAGGACUUCGGUUCGGAUAUAGAGGGGUCUGCGUACUAUUAGUUAGUUGGUGAGGUAACGGCUCACCAAGGCGAUGAUAGUUAGGGGGUCUGAGAGGAUGAUCCCCCACACUGGGACUGAGACACGGCCCAGACUCCUACGGGAGGCAGCAGUGAGGAAUCUUGCGCAAUGGGCGAAAGCCUGACGCAGCCACGCCGCGUGCCGGAAGACGGCCCUAUGGGUUGUAAACGGCUUUUUAAUGGGAAGAACGCCUGGCUUUCGAGCUGGGGUGACGGUACCAUUGGAAUAAGCACCGGCUAACUCCGUGCCAGCAGCCGCGGUAAUACGGAGGGUGCAAGCGUUGUCCGGAAUCAUUGGGUGUAAAGGGUGCGUAGGCGGGAGCCUAAGUCUGUGGUGAAAUCUUACCGCUUAACGGUGAAAUGGCCAUGGAUACUGGGUUUCUUGAGUACAGAAGAGGUCGGUGGAAUUCGUAGUGUAGCGGUGAAAUGCAUAGAUAUUACGAAGAACAUCAGUGGCGAAGGCGGCCGGCUGGACUGUAACUGACGCUGAGGCACGAAAGCGUG